UGCCCCCUUAUUAAGGAUUACAGCUUCAACUCAGAUUAAUGAGCCCAGGUAUUUCUCAUGCUUAAGCCAAAUGUAAUUCAAAUAUUUGCACUAGACCAUUGCCAGUCACUUCUUUCUAAGAAGUUAACAGAGAUUAUCAAGGUUGCCAGUGAAAUGCUUUCUAAACUUUACUAUUAGAGUAAUUGAAAUUAAAUCCCUUUUAAAUAGAUCUACUCUAGCCUGUUGGCUUUUUAUAAUUCCUUAAUAACUGUCUCCUAUAAUGGAAUCUUAUAAAUUUGGUUUAAAAUAUAAAUUAAGUCAUGAAAAUCAAAUUAAAACAGGAAACCAAGUUAUAAAUUUCAAAGUUUAUAGGCCCCCCUCUCCUAUUAAAUAAGCAAAAUUAUUAUCUUGUGUGACUUUGUAGUCUCCUACUGAAUCAGAAGCCACGUGUGGUUAUUACAGCACGUUAUAA
rnacentral:lncRNA from 1 species